GGGAAUGUGGCUUAGUGGUAGAGUGCUUGCCUAGCAUGCAUGAAGUCCCAGGUUCAAUUCCUCAGCACCA
rnacentral:tRNA from 1 species